UGCGUCAAAGAUAAAGACUGGUGGCCUGAGUCUUGGAUGAUGAACACUGCAGGUCUGGAAUGCUGAGGUCCAA
ensembl:snoRNA